GAGUUUGAUCAUAGCUCAGAUUGAACGCUAGCGACAAGCCUAACACAUGCAAGUUGUGCGAAUUUUAUUUGUAAAAUUAGCAGCGAACGGGUGAGUAAAAUACAAGAAUCUGCCUUUUAGUAUUAGAAAAGUAUAUAGAAAUGUAUAGUAAUUCAAUAUAAAUCCUAAUGGAUAAAGUAUGGGAACGCCAUAUGCUAAUAGAAGAGCUUGUAUCGGAUUAGUUAGUUGUUAAAGUAAAUGUUUAACAAGACUAUGAUCCGUAGUUGGUCUUAGAGGAUGAACAACCACAUUGGGACUGAGACACGGCCCAAACUUUUAAGGAAGGCAGCAGUGGGGAAUAUUGGACAAUGAGCGAGAGCUUGAUCCAGCUAUGUCGCGUGUGUGAAGAAGGCCUUAGGGUUGUAAAACACUUUCAACAAAGCAAGAAGAAAGAGUAUUUUAAUAAAAUAUUUUUUUUGACGAUAUUUGUAAAAGAAGCACCGGCUAACUUCGUGCCAGCAGCCGCGGUAAUACGAGGGGUGCAAGCGUUAAUCAAAAUUACUGGGCGUAAAGGGUGUGUAGGUUGUUUUUGAAAGUUAAUUGUAAAAGUUAUUAAAGCAAUUUAAUAAAGCAAUUAAUACUAAUAAACUUGAGUAUAAAAGAAGAAAUUAGAAUUUCAGGAGUAGCAGUGAAAUGCUUAGAUAUCUGAAGGAAUACUAGUGGCGAAGGCGUUUUUCUAUUUUAAUACUGACACUGAUACACGAAAGCAUAGGGAGCAAACAGGAUUAGAUACCCUGGUAGUCUAUGCAGUAAACGAUGUCAACUAUUUAUUAAAUAACAUAUUUAUUUUUUUUUAGUGAAAUUAAAAACUUGUAUUUUUAGUAAAAAAGCUAACGCGUUAAGUUGACCGCCUGGGGAUUACGACCGCAAGGUUAAAACUCAAAUGAAUUGACGGGGGCUCGCACAAGCGGUGGAGCAUGUGGUUUAAUUCGAUACAACACGAAAAAUCUUACCUACUCUUGACAUCCAAGGAAUUUAUAAAGAGAUUUAUAGGUGCUUGCAAAAGAAUCUAAACACAGGUGCUGCAUGGCUGUCGUCAGCUCGUGUCGUGAGAUGUUGGGUUAAGUUCCGCAACGAGCGCAACCCUUAUUAUUAGUUGCUACGAAAGAGCACUCUAAUGAAACUGCCGGUGACAAGCCGGAGGAAGGUGGGGAUGACGUCAAGUCCUCAUGGCCUUUAUGGGUAGGGCUUCACACGUCAUACAAUGGUGCAUACAGAGGGUCGCCAAUCUGCAAAGAGGAGCUAAUCCCAAAAAGUGCAUCGUAGUCCGGAUUGGAGUCUGCAACUCGACUCCAUGAAGUCGGAAUCGCUAGUAAUCGCGGAUCAGCAUGUCGCGGUGAAUACGUUCCCGGGUCUUGUACACACCGCCCGUCACACCAUGGAAGCAGGUUUUACCAGAAGUGAGUAGCUUAACCGAAAGGAGGGCGCUUACCACGGUAAGGUUUGUGACUGGGGUGAAGUCGUAACAAGGUAGCCGUAUCGGAAGGUGCGGCUGGAUCACCUCCUUUCUA
rnacentral:rRNA from 1 species